rnacentral:rRNA from 3 species
GGGUUGUGAGGUUAAGCGACUAAGCGUACACGGUGGAUGCCCUGGCAGUCAGAGGCGAUGAAGGACGUGCUAAUCUGCGAUAAGCGUCGGUAAGGUGAUAUGAACCGUUAUAACCGGCGAUUUCCGAAUGGGGAAACCCAGUGUGUUUCGACACACUAUCAUUAACUGAAUCCAUAGGUUAAUGAGGCGAACCGGGGGAACUGAAACAUCUAAGUACCCCGAGGAAAAGAAAUCAACCGAGAUUCCCCCAGUAGCGGCGAGCGAACGGGGAGCAGCCCAGAGCCUGAAUCAGUGUGUGUGUUAGUGGAAGCGUCUGGAAAGGCGCGCGAUACAGGGUGACAGCCCCGUACACAAAAAUGCACAUACUGUGAGCUCGAUGAGUAGGGCGGGACACGUGGUAUCCUGUCUGAAUAUGGGGGGACCAUCCUCCAAGGCUAAAUACUCCUGACUGACCGAUAGUGAACCAGUACCGUGAGGGAAAGGCGAAAAGAACCCCGGCGAGGGGAGUGAAAAAGAACCUGAAACCGUGUACGUACAAGCAGUGGGAGCACGCUUCGGCGUGUGACUGCGUACCUUUUGUAUAAUGGGUCAGCGACUUAUAUUCUGUAGCAAGGUUAACCGAAUAGGGGAGCCGAAGGGAAACCGAGUCUUAACUGGGCGUUAAGUUGCAGGGUAUAGACCCGAAACCCGGUGAUCUAGCCAUGGGCAGGUUGAAGGUUGGGUAACACUAACUGGAGGACCGAACCGACUAAUGUUGAAAAAUUAGCGGAUGACUUGUGGCUGGGGGUGAAAGGCCAAUCAAACCGGGAGAUAGCUGGUUCUCCCCGAAAGCUAUUUAGGUAGCGCCUCGUGAAUUCAUCUCCGGGGGUAGAGCACUGUUUCGGCAAGGGGGUCAUCCCGACUUACCAACCCGAUGCAAACUGCGAAUACCGGAGAAUGUUAUCACGGGAGACACACGGCGGGUGCUAACGUCCGUCGUGAAGAGGGAAACAACCCAGACCGCCAGCUAAGGUCCCAAAGUCAUGGUUAAGUGGGAAACGAUGUGGGAAGGCCCAGACAGCCAGGAUGUUGGCUUAGAAGCAGCCAUCAUUUAAAGAAAGCGUAAUAGCUCACUGGUCGAGUCGGCCUGCGCGGAAGAUGUAACGGGGCUAAACCAUGCACCGAAGCUGCGGCAGCGACACUAUGUGUUGUUGGGUAGGGGAGCGUUCUGUAAGCCUGUGAAGGUGUACUGUGAGGUAUGCUGGAGGUAUCAGAAGUGCGAAUGCUGACAUAAGUAACGAUAAAGCGGGUGAAAAGCCCGCUCGCCGGAAGACCAAGGGUUCCUGUCCAACGUUAAUCGGGGCAGGGUGAGUCGACCCCUAAGGCGAGGCCGAAAGGCGUAGUCGAUGGGAAACAGGUUAAUAUUCCUGUACUUGGUGUUACUGCGAAGGGGGGACGGAGAAGGCUAUGUUGGCCGGGCGACGGUUGUCCCGGUUUAAGCGUGUAGGCUGGUUUUCCAGGCAAAUCCGGAAAAUCAAGGCUGAGGCGUGAUGACGAGGCACUACGGUGCUGAAGCAACAAAUGCCCUGCUUCCAGGAAAAGCCUCUAAGCAUCAGGUAACAUCAAAUCGUACCCCAAACCGACACAGGUGGUCAGGUAGAGAAUACCAAGGCGCUUGAGAGAACUCGGGUGAAGGAACUAGGCAAAAUGGUGCCGUAACUUCGGGAGAAGGCACGCUGAUAUGUAGGUGAAGUCCCUCGCGGAUGGAGCUGAAAUCAGUCGAAGAUACCAGCUGGCUGCAACUGUUUAUUAAAAACACAGCACUGUGCAAACACGAAAGUGGACGUAUACGGUGUGACGCCUGCCCGGUGCCGGAAGGUUAAUUGAUGGGGUUAGCGGUAACGCGAAGCUCUUGAUCGAAGCCCCGGUAAACGGCGGCCGUAACUAUAACGGUCCUAAGGUAGCGAAAUUCCUUGUCGGGUAAGUUCCGACCUGCACGAAUGGCGUAAUGAUGGCCAGGCUGUCUCCACCCGAGACUCAGUGAAAUUGAACUCGCUGUGAAGAUGCAGUGUACCCGCGGCAAGACGGAAAGACCCCGUGAACCUUUACUAUAGCUUGACACUGAACAUUGAGCCUUGAUGUGUAGGAUAGGUGGGAGGCUUUGAAGUGUGGACGCCAGUCUGCAUGGAGCCGACCUUGAAAUACCACCCUUUAAUGUUUGAUGUUCUAACGUUGACCCGUAAUCCGGGUUGCGGACAGUGUCUGGUGGGUAGUUUGACUGGGGCGGUCUCCUCCUAAAGAGUAACGGAGGAGCACGAAGGUUGGCUAAUCCUGGUCGGACAUCAGGAGGUUAGUGCAAUGGCAUAAGCCAGCUUGACUGCGAGCGUGACGGCGCGAGCAGGUGCGAAAGCAGGUCAUAGUGAUCCGGUGGUUCUGAAUGGAAGGGCCAUCGCUCAACGGAUAAAAGGUACUCCGGGGAUAACAGGCUGAUACCGCCCAAGAGUUCAUAUCGACGGCGGUGUUUGGCACCUCGAUGUCGGCUCAUCACAUCCUGGGGCUGAAGUAGGUCCCAAGGGUAUGGCUGUUCGCCAUUUAAAGUGGUACGCGAGCUGGGUUUAGAACGUCGUGAGACAGUUCGGUCCCUAUCUGCCGUGGGCGCUGGAGAACUGAGGGGGGCUGCUCCUAGUACGAGAGGACCGGAGUGGACGCAUCACUGGUGUUCGGGUUGUCAUGCCAAUGGCACUGCCCAGUAGCUAAAUGCGGAAGAGAUAAGUGCUGAAAGCAUCUAAGCACGAAACUUGCCCCGAGAUGAGUUCUCCCUGACUCCUUGAGAGUCCUGAAGGAACGUUGAAGACGACGACGUUGAUAGGCCGGGUGUGUAAGCGCAGCGAUGCGUUGAGCUAACCGGUACUAAUGAACCGUGAGGCUUAACCUUACAACGCCGAAGCUGUU